UACGUAGGGUGCGAGCGUUGUCCGGAAUUAUUGGGCGUAAAGAGCUCGUAGGCGGUCUGUCGCGUCGGUCGUGAAAACUUGGGGCUUAACCCUGAGCUUGCGGUCGAUACGGGCAUGACUGGAGUCCGGCAGGGGAGACUGGAAUUCCUGGUGUAGCGGUGAAAUGCGCAGAUAUCAGGAGGAACACCGGUGGCGAAGGCGGGUCUCUGGGCCGAUACUGACGCUGAGGAGCGAAAGCGUGGGGAGCGAACAGG
rnacentral:rRNA from 1 species